rnacentral:lncRNA from 1 species
AACAGACCACACGCUACACAGCCUCACACACCACACACGUAUACGGCACACAUCACAGAGAUGGAGGCACAAAACCAGUAGAGAUAGAGGCACAAAAACAGUAGACCACACACUCAACGCACCCAGCCGCACCCAGCAGCCUCACUCCCCUCCCUCACGCCUCACGGCCUCCCCCUCAAGCCUCAACGAGAGACCACACAGCACACACCAACCUUUGCUCCCCUCCCUCACGCCUCAUGGGUCACUGCCCCACCCUCAAGUCAACACUCAACAUCGCCAAUGCCAAGUAGAAACACACACACACACACACAGCCGCAGCCAACACAUGCUUGCCACAAUCACC